UAAAGAGGAUCAGAAGUUCACAUCUCAUCAGUUUCAACAUAAACCAUGUUCUCUGGAGCUCUGCUGCUGCUGUUGGCAGCUGGAUGUGUGAAGUGUGAACAGUUGACCCAGCCAGCCUCUGUGACUGUGCAGCCAGGUCAACGUCUGACCAUCACCUGUCAGGUCUCUUAUUCUCUCAGCAGCUACUACACAGCUU